AUUGAACGCUGGCGGCAGGCCUAACACAUGCAAGUCGAACGAGUGGCGGACGGGUGAGUAAUGUCUUGGAAACUGCCCGAUGGAGGGGGAUAACUACUGGAAACGGUAGCUAAUACCGCAUACCAUCGGAUGUGCCCACAUGUGAUUCGCGAGUAGGGGGGGUAAUGGCUCACCUAGGCGACGAUCCCUAGCUGGUCUGAGAGGAUGACCAGCCAAACUGGAACUGAGACACGGUCCAGACUCCUACGGGAGGCAGCAGUGGGGAAUAUUGCACAAUGGGCGAAAGCCUGAUGCAGCCAUGCCGCGUGUAUGAAGAAGGCCUUCGGGUUGUAAAGUACUUUCAGCGGGGAGGCGUUACCCGCAGAAGAAGCACCGGCUAACUCCGUGCCAGCAGCCGCGGUAAUUC
rnacentral:rRNA from 1 species